UGGGGAAUAUUGGACAAUGGGCGCAAGCCUGAUCCAGCCAUGCCGCGUGGAUGAUGAAGGCCUUAGGGUUGUAAAGUCCUUUUAACGGGGAAGAUAAUGACGGUACCCGUAGAAUAAGCCCCGGCUAACUUCGUGCCAGCAGCCGCGGUAAUACGAAGGGGGCUAGCGUUGCUCGGAAUCACUGGGCGUAAAGCGCACGUAGGCGGAUUCUUAAGUCGGUGGUGAAAGCCUGGAGCUCAACUCCAGAACUGCCUUCGAUACUGAGAGUCUUGAGUCCGGGAGAGGUGAGUGGAACUGCGAGUGUAGAGGUGAAAUUCGUAGAUAUUCGCAAGAACACCAGUGGCGAAGGCGGCUCACUGGCCCGGUACUGACGCUGAGGUGCGAAAGCGUGGGUAGCAAACA
rnacentral:rRNA from 2 species